GAUAAACGCUGGCGGCGUGCUUAACACAUGCAAGUCGAACGAAGUUUUUCCUUCGGGAGAAACUUAGUGGCGGACGGGUGAGUAACGCGUGGGUAACCUGCCCUGUACAGGGGGACAACAGCUGGAAACGGCUGCUAAUACCGCAUAAGCCCUUAGCACUGCAUGGUGCAUAGGGAAAAGGAGCAAUCCGGUACAGGAUGGACCCGCGUCUGAUUAGCCAGUUGGCAGGGUAACGGCCUACCAAAGCGACGAUCAGUAGCCGAUCUGAGAGGAUGUACGGCCACAUUGGGACUGAGACACGGCCCAGACUCCUACGGGAGGCAGCAGUGGGGAAUAUUGCACAAUGGAGGAAACUCUGAUGCAGCGACGCCGCGUGAGUGAAGAAGUAUUUCGGUAUGUAAAGCUCUAUCAGCAGGGAAGAAAAUGACGGUACCUGACUAAGAAGCACCGGCUAAAUACGU
rnacentral:rRNA from 1 species